CCCUUUUAUAAAUAUCCAUGCAUUAUUAAGAAAGUUACAAGAGGGGAAUUGGAGGUAUAAAAAUCUUUGUAUUGUGCUACCUUAAUUAAAUAAUAACAAACUGCAUCUUUUUCCGAUAUGUCACAGUUUGACGUCGCGGAAAUAACAAUAUACGUUAGCAACGUCAUUACCUGCCUUGUAACUGUAUCCUUUAAAUACGAAUGACACUAAAUGAUGUGUACUGCCAUUUUCUAGUUAUUAAGAUGUUGUUUUUAUGUUGCUUUGAAGUAUUUGAGAUUGCUUUUAUGUUAUUUGAAAGCGCA
rnacentral:lncRNA from 1 species